rnacentral:rRNA from 1 species
AGUUGUAAAUUUAGCUAUUUUAUAACAACUAAAUUAUAUUACUAAAACAUUUAUAUAAACUAGUAUUGGCGAUAGAAAAUUAAUAAACGCAAUAAAUAAAGUACUGUAAAGGAAAAAUGAAAUAGAAAUUAAAUAAAUUAUAAAACACUACAAAGAAAACAUUAAAAUCUGUACCUUUUGCAUCAUGAUCUAGCAAGUAUUAAUCAACAAAAAGAAUUUUGCUGAAUACCCCGAAACUAAGCGAGCUACCUUAUGGCAAUAUAUGAAUUUACCUUUCUCUGUAGCAAAAGAGUAGGAUGACUAUACGGUAGAGGCAAAAAACCUAACGAGCAUGGAGAUAGCUGGUUACUUGAGAAUGAAUUUUAGUUCAACUAGAAACACCACUACUACCAAAGAAAAUUAAUAUUUCUAUUAUAAUUAAUUAAGGUACAACUUAAUUAAUAAAGGAAACAACCUAUAUAAAUGAAUAAAGAUUAUAUUUAAUAAGGAUAAUAAUAAAGUAGGCCUAAAAGCAGCCACCAGUAAAAUAGCGUCAAAGCUUAAUCAACUUAUACCAACUAUUUAAGUAAAUAAUCCUAACUCAUAAAAAAAAUCAAGUCAAUCUAUUUAUAGAUAAGUUAUUACUAGAAUGAGUAACAAGGAUAACCUCAUAAUACAAGUGUAAAUCUGAACGAACUAAUCGCCGAUAAUUAACGAAAUAUAUAUAAACAAGAAUAAAUAAAACGUUAACCCAACACAGGAGUAUUUAAGAAAGACUUAAAAUUUAAUAAGGAACUCGGCAAAAUGAACCCCGCCUGUUUACCAAAAACAUCGCCUUUUGAACAUAUAUUUAUAAAAGGUCCUGCCUGCCCAGUGACUCUGUUUAACGGCCGCGGUAUCAUGACCGUGCAAAGGUAGCGUAAUCACUUGUCUUUUAAAUAAAGACUAGUAUGAACGGCAACACGAGGGUUCAACUGUCUCAUUAAAUUGGUCAGUAAAAUUAAUCUUUCCGUGCAGAGACGGAAAUAAUUAUAUAAGACGAGAAGACCCUGUGGAGCUUUAAAUCAAAACUAACAUUUAAUAAUAUUAUAGUAUACGAUUUUAGGUUGGGGCGACCAUGAGGCAAAAUUAACCCUCAAAUAUAACUAGAGAGACAUUUCUAAAAAAUAGUAAUACUAACAUAUUGACCCAAUAAUUGAUCAACGAACUAAGUUACCCCAGGGAUAACAGCGCAAUCCACUCACAGAGCCCAUAUCGACGAGCGGGUUUACGACCUCGAUGUUGGAUCAGGACCACCUAGUGGUGCAGCAAUUACUAAGGGUUCGUUUGGUCAACGAUUAAAGUCCUACGUGAUCUGAGUUCAGACCGGAGUAAUCCAGGUCAGUUUCUAUCUAUAACUAGACUUUUCUAGUACGAAAGGACCGGAAAGCAGAGGUCAAUAAAUCCUUAAACCUUUCAAUAAGUCUAUGAAGAUAAAUAAAUAGACUAUAAGAAAACAUUAUAG